rnacentral:tRNA from 1 species
GGGCAUGUAGCUCAGUGGUAGAGUGCAUGCUUUGCAUGUAUGAGGUGCCAGUUUCAAUCCCCGGCAUCUCUA